rnacentral:rRNA from 1 species
AGAAUUCUAAGGUGAGCGAGCGAACUCUCGUUAAGGAACUCGGCAAAAUGACCCCGUAACUUCGGGAGAAGGGGUGCUCUUUGAGGUUCACGCUUCGAAGAGCCGCAGUGAAUAGGCCCAAGCGACUGUUUAUCAAAAACACAGGUCUCUGCUAAACCGUAAGGUGACGUAUAGGGGCUGACGCCUGCCCGGUGCUGGAAGGUUAAGAGGAGUGGUUAGCGCAAGCGAAGCUACGAAUCGAAGCCCCAGUAAACGGCGGCCGUAACUAUAACGGUCCUAAGGUAGCGAAAUUCCUUGUCGGGUAAGUUCCGACCCGCACGAAAGGCGUAACGAUUUGGGCACUGUCUCAACGAGAGACUCGGUGAAAUCAUAGUACCGGUGAAGAUGCCGGUUACCCGCGACAGGACGGAAAGACCCCGUGGAGCUUUACUGUAGCCUGAUAUUGAAAUUCGGUACAGUUUGUACAGGAUAGGUAGGAGCCUUAGAAGCGUGAGCGCUAGCUUACGUGGAGGCAUUGGUGGGAUACUACCCUAAUUGUAUUGGAUUUCUAACCCGCAGCACUUAUCGUGCUGGGAGACAGUGUCAGGCGGGCAGUUUGACUGGGGCGGUCGCCUCCUAAAGAGUAACGGAGGCGCUCAAAGGUUCCCUCAGAAUGGUUGGAAAUCAUUCAUAGAGUGUAAAGGCAUAAGGGAGCUUGACUGCGAGACCUACAAGUCGAGCAGGGUCGAAAGACGGACUUAGUGAUCCGGUGGUUCCGCAUGGAAGGGCCAUCGCUCAACGGAUAAAAGCUACCCCGGGGAUAACAGGCUUAUCUCCCCCAAGAGUUCACAUCGACGGGGAGGUUUGGCACCUCGAUGUCGGCUCAUCGCAUCCUGGGGCUGUAGUCGGUCCCAAGGGUUGGGCUGUUCGCCCAUUAAAGCGGUACGCGAGCUGGGUUCAGAACGUCGUGAGACAGUUCGGUCCCUAUCCGUCGUGGGCGUAGGAAAUUUGAGAGGAGCUGUCCUUAGUACGAGAGGACCGGGAUGGACAUACCUCUGGUGUACCAGUUGUCGUGCCAACGGCAUAGCUGGGUAGCUAUGUAUGGACGGGAUAAGUGCUGAAAGCAUCUAAGCAUGAAGCCCCCCUCGAGAUGAGAUUUCCCAACUUUGGUUAUAAGAUCCCUCAAAGAUGAUGAGGUAAAUAGGUUCGAGGUGGAAGCGUAGCGAUACGUGGAGCUGACGAAUACUAAUCGAUCGAAGACUUAAUCAACAU